UUGAACGCUGGCGGCAUGCUUUACACAUGCAAGUCGAACGGUAGACCCUUUCGGGGGUUGAGAGUGGCGAACGGGUGAGUAAUGCAUCGGAACAUACCCAGUCGUGGGGGAUAACGUAGCGAAAGUUACGCUAAUACCGCAUGAGUCCUGAGGGAGAAAGCGGGGGAUCGCAAGACCUCGCGCGAUUGGAGUGGCCGAUGUCAGAUUAGCUAGUUGGUGGGGUAAAGGCCUACCAAGGCAACGAUCCGUAGCUGGUCUGAGAGGAUGAUCAGCCACACUGGGACUGAGACACGGCCCAGACUCCUACGGGAGGCAGCAGUGGGGAAUUUUGGACAAUGGGCGCAAGCCUGAUCCAGCCAUUCCGCGUGAGUGAAGAAGGCCUUCGGGUUGUAAAGCUCUUUCGGCAGGGAAGAAACGGCAGGCUCUAACAUAGCCUGCUAAUGACGGUACCUGAAGAAGAAGCACCGGCUAACUACGU
rnacentral:rRNA from 1 species